rnacentral:rRNA from 1 species
AUGGUACUACCCUUUUGUCAUCGAGCCACUAUCACAUUUUGGUCAGCAAUCAGUUCAAGCAAUUCCAUUAGUCAGAAGUUGGAAUUUACAUCUAAACAAACAAUACAUCAAGCAACAGAAGAAAAAGUGGUCGUCUCUUUUUCUUGGCACCAAGAUGCCAUACAAGCAUUCACACUUCGGAAUCGCACAAGCAGUUUGUAUAUAAAUGGUGUGCCAUAUCGUUUUAACAUGGACACUUCAAAAGAAUAUAUGCCAAGAGUGGUCGCUGAUCACUAUGAUUAUAGUAGUCCUAAAGAGUUUGCCUCUGCGUUUCUGCUCACAUGUAGUUGA